CCUACGGGUGGCAGCAGUCGAGAAUUUUUCUCAAUGGGCGAAAGCCUGAAGGAGCGACGCCGCGUGAAGGAUGAAGGUCUUCGGAUUGUAAACUUCUGUCAUUAAGGAACAAACAUUCUGUAUAACUAACAGAAAACUGAUAGUACUUAAAGAGGAAGAGACGGCUAACUCUGUGCCAGCAGCCGCGGUAAUACAGAGGUCUCAACCGUUGUUCGGAUUUAUUGGGCGUAAAGGGUGCGUAGGUGGUUUUGUAAGUCGGAUGUGAAAUUUUAGGGCUCAACCUUGGAACUGCAUUCGAUACUGCAUAGCUUGAGCGUUGGAAAGGAGACUGGAAUUUACGGUGUAGCAGUGAAAUGCGUAGAUAUCGUAAGGAAGAUCAGUGGCGAAAGCGAGUCUCUGGACAAAUGCUGACACUGAGGCACGAAGGCUAGGGGAGCAAACGGGAUUAGAUACCCGAGUAGUC
rnacentral:rRNA from 1 species